rnacentral:lncRNA from 1 species
GAACGGGCUGGCCAAGGGCGGCGGCGGCGGCUACAACAGCUACGGCGGCUACGGGGGCUACGGCGCCUACGGGGGCGGCGGCGGCGGCGGCUCGUACGGCGGCAGCGACUACGGCAACGGCUUCGGCGGCUUCGGCAGCUACAGCCAGCACCAGUCCUCGUACGGGCCGAUGAAGAGCGGCGGAGGCGGAGGCGGAGGCGGCGGCAGCUGGGGCGGCCGCAGCAACAGUGGACCGUACAGAGGCGGCUACGGCGGCGGCGGCGGCGGCGGCUACGGCGGAGGCUCGUUCUAGAAGCCGGGUUCCGGAUGCCAGCGGCGGCGGCGGCAGGCGCGGCCUCCCUCGCCCUCCGCGCCCACCCCAGGUGCCCCCGGGAGAGCCGCUCACCCCGGGGGGCGCGACCCCCGCUUGCCUGCCCGUCCCCGUCCCCCCGAAGGUGGACUCGGCCCCACACACACAUUUUUGUGUUACAGUCAUUGAUGGACUCUAUUUUUUUAUUAUUACUUGGACCUUGGUCGUUUUUAUACUAGCAAGAUGUCUCGUUUUAAUUUGUGUUUUUUGGGGGGGCGGCGGGCGGGGGGCUGAACUUGCUGAUUCUGUAGCAAAACCGGGGUGGGGGUUGGGUGGGAGGGUAGUUUACUUUGUUGUAAGGACUUGAUACCUGGCUACAGCGUUUUCUAUGAAACCUACUUGGAUCCCAUGCCUGAAAUUUGGAAGCAUAUGUACAAAAAUCAUUUUUACGUUUUAUUUUUAAUAAAUCAUUGUGUUUGACCGUACAUGUCUAACAUUUUUUUUCUAGGAUCCACUCCUUACCGUUUUAAAGGAAAUUUUUGUUAGGUUUUGAUGUGUACUUUGAGAAGCUUCAAGGAGGUCUUGUGGGUUCUUUUUUUUUUCUCCUUCCUGUUUGCCCAGUUAGUGAUGUGUUGAAUUUAACCUUUUACAGACAAAACGUUUUGAAGUGGUGGAUGUGGCUGUUCAGUUUCUGUGCAUCCAUCUCUGUAAUAAGCGGUUUGCUUAUCAUCUUGACAUGGUUGGUUCUUCUUUCUCUGAGAAUUUACUCAAAAUAUGUACUGUGUAGUUUUAAAAGAAACAGUUUGUGUUUAAAGCAUGUGUUCUCAUUCAUAUAAACUGUUUAAAACUUUUUUAGAUGACCUAGUUUCACCCUUAUUGGUUUGUCUGUAAUGAAUGGUUACAAAUAAGGGUUCUAUUUUACCCUAACACUAAAUGAGUUUUUUUAAGAUGUAUUUUCAGAGCAGGUUUAAAAAAAACCGUUUCUUCCCUAAGUCUGAACUUUGUCCUUUUAAGUCCAACCGAUGUAGCACCAUCUGCUGGUAGAGUGGCAGUAUAGCUGCAAGAAAGUUGGUUUAAAAAAACCAAUUUCAUCAGAUUUAGCAGUUUGCCACCAGAAGUCUGCAGACUUGAAAGGUCCGCAUUUACUUGUAGCUGAGACGGGCUUCCCAGGAGUGUAGUUAACAGCCCGUGAUCAGUCGCUUUUCUACGUGAGAUUUGAAUAUGUAAACUGCUAUGCAUAGCUUGGGCAGUAGCCCCAAACUGCUCUGAUAGCUACUGAAGCAGCUGUGUGUACUGGGGUUUUAGGUGCAAGUUGUAAAACAAAAUAUCUGUAUUCUGCUUGGUUAACGUGUAUUUGUAGCCCUUCAUGCAAUAGAAUUCAAGUUGUUGUUUAUAAAAAAAAAAACAAACACUGAUAAUAGGAGAAAAUUGCCUUCCUGAAUAGAAACAUAGAAUAGCAACGUUUAUGGAUAUCACAAAUAAAGACUUCAAUUCUUACAUG